CAUCUUCAGUCCUACACUGUCGGGUUUUCUCGGCUGUUUGAGGGGCCUGGAAAGGCCCGAGGUGGCCUUGGGGCAGCCCGCGUAUCGAAGGACGAGAAGAGGCUUCAGUUCUUCUUUCGGUUUUUAUGUUUAUUAAUUGUUUAUCUAAAAGAUUUUCUUUCAGCCGAACAGAGAUCUGCUCAGCAGUNNNNNNNNNNNNNNNNNNNNNNNNNNNNNNCUUUAGACCUCUGUUUUCCUUUGAACUACAGUGGUUCAGCUCAUUAGCCUGUCUCACUUCUUAUCAGUCACACUUGCUUCUCAUUACUCUGGUUGCAGAGCUACCAUAAUUAGAUUUUAUAUUUUUAGGCAUUCAUAACACUGCUUUAGUUUACACUGUGCUAUCAGAAGCGUUUUAGAAAAACCAUAAGACCAAACUAAUUAAGAUGUUCCACAGAGACUUUUUAAAGGAGAGUUGCUGUUGCUGCUGACUUGGUGAAUUCAGGCACACACAGCUGUGGGGCCAGUGGGCUGACAGGGGAGGUCGCUCAGAUCUCCUGCCUGUGCAGCUCACAGGACCCCACCCCACAGCUUUUGCUUCCAGGCCGUUAUCUCUGAUGUCUCUUAGGAGAAGAUACGCUACAUUUGGCUUUAAAGACUUGGGGUUUUUCCCUAAGUUUACAUUUUCACUCCUGGAAGUUCUUCCCUCUUGCCAAAAGCAGUGCAGAUAUCUUGAGCACCUAACUUUGUUCAGCUCGCUAACAGCGACAGCCAUGAAAAUGAAUGAUUUGGCUUCACCCAAAAUGAUGGAUAAUCCUGCUGGAAGAGCAUGACAAUGAUAGACAGACAUCUUCUGAAGGAGAAGAUCACUCCAAGAUAUGAUUUGCUGAAAAUGUAUGCAUGCUUUUCAGAAGACAUGGGAGAAGCCCGAGAGCAUCUUACAUGGAUUCUUAGUGCUGCCCAGGAUUUCCCUCACAGAGAAUUGGUGGCGUCACCCUUUAAUAGUUUUGUUCCCUGAAAUCCCUCUUUUGAAAAAAAAAUUAACAAAGGCAAAUAACUUCUGUCUCCUCCUUCCUGUAGAGGAGGGAAACUGGAAAAGCAGUUGCAGGUUUUUGAUACACAGGUAA
rnacentral:lncRNA from 1 species